GCCAAUUAGUUAGUUGGUAGGGUAAAGCCUACCAAGACGAUGAUGUUUAGCGGGGCCAAGAGGUUGUACCGCCACACUGGGAUUGAGAUACGGCCCAGACUCCUACGGGAGGCAGCAGUAAGGAAUAUUCCACAAUGAGCGAAAGCUUGAUGGAGCGACACAGCGUGCAGGAUGAAGUCUUUCGGGAUGUAAACUGCUGUUGUAAGGGAAGAAAAAACUAAAUAGGAAAUGCUCUAGUCUUGACGGUACCUUAUUAGAAAGCGACGGCAAACUAUGUGCCAGCAGCCGCGGUAAUACAUAGGUCGCAAGCGUUAUCCG
rnacentral:rRNA from 1 species